rnacentral:lncRNA from 1 species
UCAUCUUCCAUCCAAUUCUUAGCUAGGUCAUCUCCAUCCAAGUUUUUUUAACAAAAAAAAGUUCAAAAAAUGCCCCGGGCUGGUCAUAAGUCACACAGAUUUGGAUAUGGACAUGAAGAGGAGCAAAAAGGCUUGGAAAGGAAUAAAGAAAUAUAAUAAGAUAAUAUGAACAGGGUAACCACAAGGGCAAAAUAAUUACAGCAUUAUAAUAAAACUCCUCUUGCUCAUGGCUAAAUGCAAAAACCAAACGGACAACCUCGCCCAAAUCAUAUAUGAUAGAGAAAAUUCAAAACAACUGCCUGAGAUCGCAAGCCACAUUUCACGCCAUUAACACAAGUAAAGAAACUGUAAAGAAACUGAAAUCCUCACUGUAAAGAAACUGUAAAGAAACAGAGUCACACACAUCACUAUUCACUACAUCAGAGUAAGAAACGGAGAAACGGAAAAGAAGCACCCCUGGCACUAGAAAAAGAAGCACCCACGAACAGGGAAAAAGAACCAGUGGCUGUGGUGAAGACUUACCUGGUGAAGACUGGAGAAGACUGGAGAGACGCCGUUGUUGUUGUGUGGACUCUGGUUCUCACGGUGAAGACUGGUGAAGACUGGAGAAGACUGGAGAAGAUCAGGGGCGACUGGCGAGGGCUGUUGUGGAGGUGGACGGUGGUUGAUUGUUGGCUGAGAGAAAUAGAUUACGAGACCGAGAGUCCGAGACACCGAGUCACUGAGGAAUCCUCAGUGAGGAUUUCGAAUUUUGGGUUUUCAAUUUAGGGAUUUCUGAACUUGAAGUCUUGAUUCUUGAACAAUGAAUGUGAACUGUGAAGAGAAGAGAGAAGACUGAUUGAUUCGGUGAAGAGAGAAUAAUGAAUUGCAUUUGAUUUGGUAUAUCCAAUAGGCGGUCGACACGUGGCUCCUGAAUUGUAUUUAAUUUCCUGCGGGCAAAAUCGUUGAAUCGGCAGUGAAAUCGCGAUUUUAAGCGAUUUCACCCGAUUUUAA